UGCGUAGGCGGAAUAUUAAGUCAGUGGUGAAAUCCUGCGGCUCAACCGUAGAACUGCCAUUGAUACUGAUAUUCUUGAAUGUAGUUGAGGUAGGCGGAAUGUGUAAUGUAGCAGUGAAAUGCUUAGAUAUUACACAGAACACCGAUUGCGAAGGCAGCUUACUAAACUAUGAUUGACGCUGAGGCACGAAAGCGUGGGGAGCGAACAGGAUUAGAUACCCUGGUAGUCC
rnacentral:rRNA from 1 species